rnacentral:tRNA from 1 species
AGGAUAUUAGUUAAUCUAUUAUAACAUUUAAUUUGCAAUUAAAAAUUAUGUAUUUUUCUCAUAUAUCUUA